AGCCGCGGGCCCCGCUCCGCGCUCCUGGGGCCGGGCCGGGGGGCGAGAGCCCGCGGCGGGCGGGCGGGUUUGGUUUUCAUUUGUGUUGCUGUUGUUGUUGGAUUUUUUUUUUUUUUUUUUUUUUUUUUUUUUUUCUUUACAGAGUUUCUAUUCUUUACAAUUCAGCAUUUCUUAUGUUUGUAGUUUACAGGAAUAAACAUGAGAAAGUAGCAUUUCUGUUGGAUUUCGGUAAUUUCGGGCAUUGCUCAGGAAGCUCCCAUGAGACCCAGCCAGGUGUGCUGGUGGAUAUAUCUGGGAAACUAUAGGGCUGCAAUUCAAAAUGAGGAGAAGUGGGUGAACUCUUGCUUAAGAUCAUUGAUUUGCAUUUACAACAGGGACAUAUUUAAUUCCAAACCUUCUGACUGGAUGCCACGAUUUCACAAAGUAGUGCCAAAUUUAAUUCUCAUUUAUUAUGAAUUUCCCCCCCCAAAUAUAUCUACUAUGGAACUUAUUAAUAUAAUAACAAUAAAUAGUAAUAAAUUCAAAUAAAAAUUUGGAGUUAAUUAAAAAUUAAGAAAGACUGAGAUCUACAUCUGGUUUUCACCUUGCCCUGUCCUGUUGGCCGUUGUUUUUAGGAUUCCUGUAUCACACAUUCCAUAGCUAUCACAGCACCUUCCCGGAGCUCAGGGUAUUUAAUCCCAGGUUUAGUUAUGUCUCCCAGUUUCACACAAUUUGCAGAAUAAAUGCCCUGGAAGCUGAGGCA
rnacentral:lncRNA from 1 species